UGCGUAGGGUGCGAGCGUUGUCCGGAAUUACUGGGCGUAAAGAGCUCGUAGGUGGUUUGUCGCGUUGUUCGUGAAAACUCACAGCUUAACUGUGGGCGUGCGGGCGAUACGGGCAGACUGGAGUACUGCAGGGGAGACUGGAAUUCCUGGUGUAGCGGUGGAAUGCGCAGAUAUCAGGAGGAACACCGGUGGCGAAGGCGGCCCUCUGGACGGUGACUGACGCUGAGACGCGAAAGCGUGGGGAGCAAACAGG
rnacentral:rRNA from 1 species